UCCCUUGUGGCUCAGCUGGUAAAGAAUCUGCCUGAAAUGCAGGAGACCUGGGUUCGAUCCCUGGGUUGGGAA
rfam:TPA: Bos taurus chromosome 2, whole genome shotgun sequence.